rnacentral:rRNA from 1 species
CUACGGGGGGCACCAGUGGGGAAUAUUGGACAAUGGGGGAAACCCCGAUCCAGCAAUGCCGCGUGUGUGAAGAAGGCCUGCGGGUUGUAAAGCACUUUCGGUUGGGAGGACUGCUUCUAGCACUAAUAUUGUUGGAAGUUGACGUUACCUUCAGAAGAAGCACCGGCUAACUCCGUGCCAGCAGCCGCGGUAAUACGGAGGGUGCAAGCGUUAAUCGGAAUUACUGGGCGUAAAGCGCGCGUAGGCGGCUAGAUCAGUCGGGUGUGAAAGCCCCGGGCUUAACCUGGGAACUGCAUCCGAUACUGUCUAGCUUGAGUACAGGAGAGGAGAGUGGAAUUCCACAUGUAGCGGUGAAAUGCGUAGAUAUGUGGAGGAACACCAAUGGCGAAGGCAGCUCUCUGGCCUGAUACUGACGCUGAGGUGCGAAAGCGUGGAGAGCAAACAGGAUUAGAUACCCUCGUAGUC